rnacentral:rRNA from 1 species
GCCCACCAUUGGAACUUCUUUAAACUCUUAUCAAUUGAGUUGUCUGAGAACAAAAAACAAAUAAAUUAAAACUUUCAACAACGGAUCUCUUGGUUCUGGCAUCGAUGAAGAACGCAGCGAAAUGCGAUAAGUAAUGUGAAUUGCAGAAUUCAGUGAAUCAUCGAAUCUUUGAACGCACAUUGCGCCCUUUGGUAUUCCGAGGGGCAUGUCUGU